GAUGAACGCUGACAGAAUGCUUAACACAUGCAAGUCCACUUGAACUUCGGUUUGGGUGGCGGACGGGUGAGUAACGCGUAAAGAACUUGCCUCACAGAUAGGGACAACAUUUGGAAACGAAUGCUAAUACCUGAUAUUAUGAUUAUAUGGCAUCGUAUAAUUAUGAAAGCUAUAUGCGCUGUGAGAGAGCUUUGCGUCCCAUUAGCUAGUUGGAGAGGUAACGGCUCACCAAGGCGAUGAUGGGUAGCCGGCCUGAGAGGGUGAUCGGCCACAAGGGGACUGAGACACGGCCCUUACUCCUUCGGGAGGCAGCAGUGGGGAAUAUUGGACUAUGGACCAAGAGUCUGAUCCAGCACUUCUGUGUGCACGAUGAAGUUUUUCGGAAUGUAAAGUGCUUUCAGUUGGGAAGAAAAAAAUGACGGUACCAACAGAAGAAGUGACGGCUAAAUACGUG
rnacentral:rRNA from 1 species